rnacentral:rRNA from 1 species
GCGCAGCAGGCGCGAAACUUUACAAUGCGGGAAACCGCGAUAAGGGGACACCGAGUGCCAGCAUAUUAUGUUGGCUGUCCACAUGUGUAAACGGCAUGUGUUAGCAAGGGCCGGGCAAGACCGGUGCCAGCCGCCGCGGUAACACCGGCGGCCCGAGUGGUAAUCACUUUUAUUGGGUCUAAAGGGUCCGUAGCCGGUUUGAUCAGUUCUUCGGGAAAUCUGACAGCUCAACUGUUAGGCUUCCGGGGAAUACUGUCAGACUUGGGACCGGGAGAGGUAAGAGGUACUACAGGGGUAGGAGUGAAAUCUUGUAAUCCCUGUGGGACCACCAGUGGCGAAGGCGUCUUACCAGAACGGGUCCGACGGUGAGGGACGAAAGCUGGGGGCACGAACCGGAUUAGAUACCCGUGUAG